rnacentral:misc_RNA from 1 species
AACUGAUACUACCUGCGGGAACCUGCGGAGGGAUCAUUACCGAGUACCGGGUCUUUCAGGCCCUUACUCCCACCCUUUUGUUUACCAAACCACUUUUUCGUUGCCUUGGUGGUGACUUGUUCCCUCUUUUUGGGGGGCAGUCCCACCAGGGGAACACCCCUUAAACUCUUGUCAAAAUCAGACUGUCUGAGAAAAAAACAAAUGAAUUAAAACUUUCAACAACGGAUCUCUAGAUCGGAA